rnacentral:rRNA from 1 species
GAUGAACGCUGGCGGCGUGCCUAAUACAUGCAAGUCGAACGAAACUUCUUUAUCACCGAGUGCUUGCACUCACCGAUAAAGAGUUGAGUGGCGAACGGGUGAGUAACACGUGGGCAACCUGCCCAAAAGAGGGGGAUAACACUUGGAAACAGGUGCUAAUACCGCAUAACCAUAGUUACCUCAUGGUAACUAUGUAAAAGGUGGCUAUACUACCACCUUUGGAUGGGCCCGCGGCGCAUUAGCUAGUUGGUAGGGUAAAGGCUUACCAAGGCAAUGAUGCGUAGCUGAAUUGAGAGGUUGAUCGGCCACAUUGGGACUGAGCCACGGCCCAAACCCCAACGGGAGGCAGCAGUAGGGAAUCUUACACAAUGGGCGAAAGCAUGAUGGAGCACAGCCGCGUGGGUGAAGAAGGUCUUCGGCUCGUAAAACCCUGUUGUUAGAGAAGAAAGUGCGUGAGAGUAACUGUUCACGUUUUGACGGUAUCUAACCAGAAAGCAACGGCUAACUACGUG